UUCUUAUUGGAUGAUGACUAUCACGUGUCAUGUUCUGAUUGGUUAAUGAAAACAACAAUGCAUUUCAUCUUUCAUGGAGUUGACAUCCAAUCAGAACAUGACAUGUGAUAGUCAUCAUCC
rnacentral:pre_miRNA from 1 species